AACGCACCUUGCGCUCCUUGGUAUUCCGAGGAGCAUGCCUGUUUGAGUGUCUUGAAGUCAUCAACCCCUCCCGUCUUUUGUUGCGGAGAGGUCGGUUGGAGUUGGGGGCUUGCGGCCGCUUGGCCGCUCCCCUCGAAUGCUUCGGUUGGGCCCGUGGGUCGACUCGGUAGGGCGUUGUAGCAUCCUCGCUCUCGUUCCGAGACGUCUCUCCUGCGCUUGUGUGCCCUCCCGCAGACCGCCCCUCGGAGCGGCGGUCAAACACAAACUUUGAAAUCUGACCUCAAAUCAGGUAGGACUACCCGCUGAACUUAA
rnacentral:misc_RNA from 1 species